UACGGGGGGAGCAAGCGUUGUUCGGAUUUACUGGGCGUAAAGGGCGCGUAGGCGGCCACCGCAAGUCAGUUGUGAAAUCUCUGGGCUUAACCCAGAAAGGUCAACUGAUACUGCGGGGCUAGAGUGCAGAAGGGGCAACUGGAAUUCUCGGUGUAGCGGUGAAAUUCGUAGAUAUCGGGAGGAACACCGAUGGCGAAGGCAGGUCUCUGGGCAUUAACUGACGCUGAGGAGCGAAAGCAUGGGGAGCGAACAGG
rnacentral:rRNA from 1 species